rnacentral:rRNA from 1 species
CACGUGUAGCAGUGAAAUGCGUAGAGAUGUGGAGGAACACCGAUGGCGAAGGCAGCCCCCUGGGUCAAGAUUGACGCUCAUGCACGAAAGCGUGGGGAGCAAACAGGAUUAGAUACCCUGGUAGUCCACGCCCUAAACGAUGUCUACUAGUUGUCGGGUUUUAAUUAACUUGGUAACGCAGCUAACGCGUGAAGUAGACCGCCUGGGGAGUACGGUCGCAAGAUUAAAACUCAAAGGAAUUGACGGGGACCCGCACAAGCGGUGGAUGAUGUGGAUUAAUUCGAUGCAACGCGAAAAACCUUACCUACCCUUGACAUGUCAGGAACCUUGGAGAGAUCUGAGGGUGCUCGAAAGAGAGCCUGAACACAGGUGCUGCAUGGCUGUCGUCAGCUCGUGUCGUGAGAUGUUGGGUUAAGUCCCGCAACGAGCGCAACCCUUGUCAUUAGUUGCUACGAAAGGGCACUCUAAUGAGACUGCCGGUGACAAACCGGAGGAAGGUGGGGAUGACGUCAAGUCCUCAUGGCCCUUAUGGGUAGGGCUUCACACGUCAUACAAUGGUACAUACAGAGGGCCGCCAACCCGCGAGGGGGAGCUAAUCCCAGAAAGUGUAUCGUAGUCCGGAUUGUAGUCUGCAACUCGACUACAUGAAGUUGGAAUCGCUAGUAAUCGCGGAUCAGCAUGUCGCGGUGAAUACGUUCCCGGGUCUUGUACACACCGCCCGUCACACCAUGGGAGCGGGUUUUACCAGAAGUAGGGAGCUUAACCGCAAGGAGGGCGUUUACCACGGUAGGAUUCCUGACUGGGGUGAAGUCCUCACAAGGCAGCCG